rnacentral:rRNA from 1 species
AUUGAACGCUGGCGGCAUGCCUAACACAUGCAAGUCGAGCGAGCGGCGGACGGGUGAGUAAUGUAUGGGGACCUGCCCGGUAGAGGGGGAUAACUACUGGAAACGUUCGCUAAUCCCGCAUACUAUCGGAUCACCCAUAUGGGAUUAGCUAGUUGGUGGGGUAAAGGCUUACCAAGGCGACGAUCGGUAGCUGGUCUGAGAGGAUGAUCAGCCACACUGGGACUGAGACACGGCCCAGACUCCUACGGGAGGCAGCAGUGGGGAAUAUUGGACAAUGGGCGCAAGCCUGAUCCAGCCAUGCCGCGUGUAUGAAGAAGGCCUUAGGGUUGUAAAGGACUUUCAGCGGGGAAGCGGUACCCGAAGAAGAAGCACCGGCUAACUACGUGCUAGCAGCCGCGGUAAUUC